UACGAAGGGGGCUAGCGUUGUUCGGAAUUACUGGGCGUAAAGCGCGCGCAGGCGGCCAUUCAAGUCAGGGGUGAAAGCCCAGAGCUCAACUCUGGAACUGCCCUUGAAACUGUAUGGCUUGAGUAUGAGAGAGGUGAGUGGAAUUCCCAGUGUAGAGGUGAAAUUCGUAGAUAUUGGGAAGAACACCGGUGGCGAAGGCGGCUCACUGGCUCAUUACUGACGCUCGAGGCGCGACAGCGUCGGGGAUCAAACAGG
rnacentral:rRNA from 1 species